UACGUAGGGGGCUAGCGUUGUCCGGAAUCAUUGGGCGUAAAGCGCGUGUAGGCGGUUCGGUAAGUCCGCUGUGAAAGUCGGGGGCUCAACCCUCGGAUGCCGGUGGAUACUGUCGGGCUUGAGUACGGAAGAGGCGAGUGGAAUUCCUGGUGUAGCGGUGAAAUGCGCAGAUAUCAGGAGGAACACCGGUGGCGAAGGCGGCAUCCUGGACCGAGAUUGACACUGAGGAGCGAAAGCUAGGGGAGCAAACGGG
rnacentral:rRNA from 1 species